UGUGUGUGAGAGUGCAGAGUGUGAUGAGUGUGAGAGUGCUGUGUAUGAUGUGUGUGAGAGUGCAGAGUGUGAUGAGUGUGAGAGUGCUGUGUAUGAUGUGUGUGAGAGUGCAGAGUGUGAUGAGUGCAGAGUGUGAUGAGUGCAGAGUGUGAUGAGUGUGAGAGUGCUGUGUAUGAUGUGUGUGAGAGUGCAGAGUGUGAUGAGUGUGAGAGUGCUGUGUAUGAUGUGUGUGAGAGUGCAGA